UACAUAAAAUAAGACUUUUCGUCAUUAUCUAAGGAUAGAUUUAAACGAUUCGAUAUAGAAAUAUUUAACUAAUAAUACAAUACAAUACAACGGAUAGCAACGAUCAAAUUUAAAGACACUGAAAAUAGCCAAUUCUGUGUGACUUGCCUCCACAUAACCAAAUUCCUUUUCAGUCCUCGAAAUACUUCUCCGGCCGUCCCAUAUCGCGCGAUAAAAAAAUCUGUAGCUAAACAGUAAAAUUUCGUCACCAAUUUCGUGAUAAAUUAGCUACCAAAAUUUCUAUUUAUUUAUACACAAUAUUUGUAACUAAUUUUUAAUUUCAUUUUACCUUUUUUGGUUAGUGUAUUAUUCUAUUAUUAUAAGUGGGCUAGCUUUUGGGUAUAUAUAAGAACGGUAGAAUUUGAAAGAAAAAAAUAGUAGUUUUUUUAUUUUGAAAUAGUGUUUGAACAUAAAUAUUAAUUUGCGCUAUUUUUGAACUUUGUAAGUGAUUUAGAAUUGAAAUUGAGAAAAUAUUUUCUUUUUGCAGUUUUACUAAUUUCUAAAAAUUUCAGAAUCCAACUUCAAGUAGAAUUCUAAAAUAUAAUAAUGUCCAAACAAUUUUUUGAAAUAAUAUUUCGAGACGAGAGGGAGUUGCUCGAAUGGUAAGCACCCCUUGCUUCCAACCCGAAGGUUGCGAGUUCGAGUCACCAAGGGAGCAAAAGGGGUGGGGGAGCUCCUAGGGAGGGUAAAAAAAAAAAAAAUUCCGAAAAAAAGUGAAAACUCUCAAUAGUGUCAAAGCUCCAUUUAUAUAGGGUGGGGGUGGCUUUGGAGUAAAUCUUACUAAAAAUAUUUGAUCAUGAAAAAUUGAAAUCUAUAGAGAAUUAUUCAAAGUGUGAAGUGUAUAUAUUUCACGUAAUAUAAAUGUAUUCUCAAAAUUCAAUAGGUUCUUGUACUGGAGCACAUAAACUAACUAAGACUCGGAGAAUAUUUUCUCUAUCUUCCAUCCAUCACAAGAAGAGAAUAUAUAGUCAAGAAAAAUUAUUAGCAUGAAAUAUUAAGAUUUAAGAAUAUUUGUUGUUGUGAUAAUCAAAGCAAUUAACGGCUUAAUAAAAUAAGGUAUAAUUAAGGAAAAUAAAGAAUCUAUUUCAAUGUCAACAUUAAUAACUAUUACGAAGACGUUAUUUUUCAGACUCUUGAAAUAUUCAAUGGUGAUUAAUAUUUAUUUAUCAUAGCUAGUAAAAGAUAAAUAAUAUGUUGUAAUAUUUAUUAAUCAUUAUUAGUAAAGAUUAAAGAAUAAAUAUAAAAUGGAAAAAGGUCAAAAAUGUCUUUAAACUACGUAAAAUAAAUAAAAAUGUCCUCUGUAUGGUUUGGUCCAAAAGUAUCCUUGCCAUCAAUAGUUUGAUCCAAAAUGUCCUUAUCGUUAUUUAAAGAGUAAAAAAUGCUCAUUUUCCAAAUAAAUAUAUCAUUUAUUUUCUUUCUAACACAUUCUUUUUCUAAUAAUAUUUUUUAAAAUUAGCAAAUGUUUAUCCUACUUCAAUUCAGAAUAAAAUAAAAAAUAAAAAUAUUUCUUAUUUUAUUGUAAUUAUUUUUUAUCGUUAUAUAAUUAAAAAUUAAUGAUGAGUAUACUAUGAUAUUAUAUAUAUGACAAAGAGUACAGGAAGUUAUUUUAUUUUAAUUGAUAAAGUGAGAUUUAGAAGAAAAAAAUUAUUUCCUACAUUUUCAUUUGUAGAAGUAAUUUUAAAAGAAAGAAAACAAGAAUAGGGUUCUUUAAUAACAUUUUAAUUAGGAAGAAGAUAUGUUUUUUAAAAAAAAAUAUAUAUAUAUAUUCGAAAAAGAGCAUUUUGACCCAUUUAGUAACUAUAGAGGCAUUUUUGGACCAAAAUAAUAACUGCAAGAGCAUUUUUUAACCGAAUAUUGACAGCAUGCCGUUUUUUAGCCAAACUAUAAAUGGAGGACAUUUUUUUUCAUUUCACACCGAUUAAAGAUAUUUUUGACAUUUUUCCCUUUUAUAUUAGUUUUUUUAUCCUUUAUUAGCCAUGGUUAACAAAUAUCAUAACAUAUUAUUUAUCCUUUACUAGCUAUGAUUAAUAAAUAUCAAUCAUCUUUGAAUAUUUCUAAAGUCUGAAUAAAUGUCUUUAUAAUAGAUAUUUAAUAUUGUUGUUGAAUAUUUUUAAUGACUAGUCAUGUUGGCACGGAAACAAAUUUUGUAUUGUCCUUUAUAUCCUAUUUUACUGCUUUGACUAUCACAACAACAAAUAUUCUUUAGUCUUAAUAUUUCAUGAUGAUAAUUUGAGUUCUUUGACCUAUAAUAUUCACCUUCCUUCUGCUGGAUUUCAAUUAAAAUAAUUUGUGCGCCGAAUUUACAGUAGAAGGAAUUGUUGAAUUCUGAAAAUAAUCUAUAUCAGAUAAAAUAUUCUUAAGGACGAUUAUCUUUAUAUAUUUUAUGUUGUAAAAAAAAUUUCUAUAAAUUUCGUGAUCAAUAUUUUUCGUAAGAUUUACCUCCCACCAGCCACCCCAUCGGCCACCCUACCCAUACCACCCAAGGCUUUUCACUAAAGAUUCAAUAUUUAUUUUAUAAACAUACAAAAAAAAAACUAGAAAAUAACUUUUUAGACUUGGAUAAAUUCCCUUCCACCCCUAAUACUCACAUAAACUUAAUUCAUAAGUCUAUUAACAAGAAGACAAUCAUGUCAAAUAGCUAUUUAAAAUGGAAAAGUGUUAUAGCAAAACCAUGAAAUUCACCAAUGAGAUUAUUCUUUUAUUUCUUUAAUCAUAUAUUUUGAGUUAAAACUUUAAUUAUAUAAAAAAAAUCUUAAAAAAUGCUUCUUUCUUAACUUAGUCUUAUAUAAUAAUGAGAAUUCAAAUUAUUCAGUAUUUCAAUAUAAAUAUCUGACAUCAAAUAAGAAGAUCAAGACAAAAUGAAAUUCCAAUAUUUGAUAAAUACCUUCAAGUUCAUUAUCAUCGAUGUCAUGUGUUCUUCACAAAGUGGUACUCCCUACAACAUCAAAAUUAAUAUCAAUACCAAGAAACAAAACAUAUCAUUAAAACACAUGGAUUUUAUUCAAGAAUAAUAAAUUAAUAGGAGAUACCAUUUGCCUAUUAAUUGCUUAGCUCUCAAUUAAAG
rnacentral:lncRNA from 1 species